rnacentral:rRNA from 1 species
CGAGGUGGAGCUAAUCCCAUAAAACUAUUCUCAGUUCGGAUUGUAGGCUGCAACUCGCCUACAUGAAGCCGGAAUCGCUAGUAAUCGUGGAUCAGCAUGCCACGGUGAAUACGUUCCCGGGCCUUGUACACACCGCCCGUCACACCACGAGAGUUUGUAACACCCGAAGUCGGUAGGGUAACCUUUAUGGAGCCAGCCGCCGAAGGUGGGACAGAUAAUUGGGGUGAAGUCGUAACAAGGUAGCCGUAUCGGAAGGUGCGGCUGGAUCACCUCCUUUCUAAGGAA